rnacentral:rRNA from 1 species
AGAGUUUGAUCCUGGCUCAGGAUGAACGCUGGCGGCGUGCCUAAUACAUGCAAGUCGAGCGAACGGACGAGAAGCUUGCUUCUCUGAUGUUAGCGGCGGACGGGUGAGUAACACGUGGAUAACCUACCUAUAAGACUGGGAUAACUUCGGGAAACCGGAGCUAAUACCGGAUAAUAUUUUGAACCGCAUGGUUCAAAAGUGAAAGACGGUCUUGCUGUCACUUAUAGAUGGAUCCGCGCUGCAUUAGCUAGUUGGUAAGGUAACGGCUUACCAAGGCAACGAUGCAUAGCCGACCUGAGAGGGUGAUCGGCCACACUGGAACUGAGACACGGUCCAGACUCCUACGGGAGGCAGCAGUAGGGAAUCUUCCGCAAUGGGCGAAAGCCUGACGGAGCAACGCCGCGUGAGUGAUGAAGGUCUUCGGAUCGUAAAACUCUGUUAUUAGGGAAGAACAUAUGUGUAAGUAACUGUGCACAUCUUGACGGUACCUAAUCAGAAAGCCACGGCUAACUACGUGCCAGCAGCCGCGGUAAUACGUAGGUGGCAAGCGUUAUCCGGAAUUAUUGGGCGUAAAGCGCGCGUAGGCGGUUUUUUAAGUCUGAUGUGAAAGCCCACGGCUCAACCGUGGAGGGUCAUUGGAAACUGGAAAACUUGAGUGCAGAAGAGGAAAGUGGAAUUCCAUGUGUAGCGGUGAAAUGCGCAGAGAUAUGGAGGAACACCAGUGGCGAAGGCGACUUUCUGGUCUGUAACUGACGCUGAUGUGCGAAAGCGUGGGGAUCAAACAGGAUUAGAUACCCUGGUAGUCCACGCCGUAAACGAUGAGUGCUAAGUGUUAGGGGGUUUCCGCCCCUUAGUGCUGCAGCUAACGCAUUAAGCACUCCGCCUGGGGAGUACGACCGCAAGGUUGAAACUCAAAGGAAUUGACGGGGACCCGCACAAGCGGUGGAGCAUGUGGUUUAAUUCGAAGCAACGCGAAGAACCUUACCAAAUCUUGACAUCC